rnacentral:tRNA from 1 species
AGGAUAAUAGUUAAUAAUAACAUUUAAUUUGCAUUUAAAAAGUACUAAAUUCAGUUUAUCUUA